AGAGCCUACGGGAGGCAGCAGUAGGGAAUUUUCGUCAAUGGGCGCAAGCCUGAACGAGCAAUGUCGCGUGAACGAGGAAGGUCUUCGGAUCGUAAAGUUCUGUUGAAGGGGAAAAAGAGCGGAGAGAGGAAAUGAACUCCGAUUGAUAUUACCCUUCGAGGAAGUCACGGCUAACUACGUGCCGGCAGCCGCGGUAAUACGUAGGUGGCGAGCGUUAUCCGGAAUGAUUGGGCGUAAAGGGUGCGUAGGCGGCCUGCUAAGUCUGGAGUGAAAGGUACCGGCUCAACCGGUACAGGCCUUGGAAA
rnacentral:rRNA from 1 species